rnacentral:rRNA from 1 species
UACGUAGGGUGCAAGCGUUAAUCGGAAUUACUGGGCGUAAAGCGUGCGCAGGCGGCUUUGUAAGUCAGAUGUGAAAUCCCCGGGCUCAACCUGGGAACUGCAUUUGAGACUGCAUGGCUAGAGUACGGUAGAGGGGGAUGGAAUUCCGCGUGUAGCAGUGAAAUGCGUAGAUAUGCGGAGGAACACCGAUGGCGAAGGCAGUCCCCUGGACCUGUACUGACGCUCAUGCACGAAAGCGUGGGGAGCAAACAGG